AGAAUACAAGAAGCAUCACUAUCCACAGAGAGCUUUCUCCCUGCUCAGUCUGAAAGUAUCUCACUUAUUCGCUUUCAUGGAGUGGCUAUCCUUUCUCCACUGGUUAGAAAAGCACCUAAUGCCAGUGAUUUUGAUCAGUGGGAGAUGGAAACAGUUUACUCUAAUUCAGAAGUCAGAAACUUGAAUGUUCCUGCUACAUUUCCAAAUAGCUUUCCAAGCCAUACGGAACACUCUACUGCAGCAAAGCUUGAUAAGAUAGCUGGGAUUUUGCCAUUGGAUAAUGAGGACCAAUGUAAAACUGAUGGAAUAGACUUAGCUAGAGAUUCAGAAGGAUUUAAUUCUCCGAAGCAAUGUGAUAGU
rnacentral:lncRNA from 1 species